rnacentral:rRNA from 1 species
ACUGAACGCUGGCGGAAUGCUUUACACAUGCAAGUCGAACGGCAGCACGGACUUCGGUCUGGAGGCGAGUGGCGAACGGGUGAGUAAUGUAUCGGAACGUGCCCAGUCGUGGGGGAUAACGUAGUGAACAUUACGCUAAUACCGCAUACGAUCUAUGGAUGAACGAGGGGGAUCGCAAGACCUCGCGCGCUUGGAGCGGCCGAUAUCAGAUUAGGUAGUUGGUGGGGUAAAGGCCCACCAAGCCCACGAUCUGUAGCUGGUCUGAGGGGACGACCAGCCACACUGGAACUGAGACACGGUCCAGACUCCUACGGGAGGCAGCAGUGGGGAAUUUUGGACAAUGGGCGAAAGCCUGAUCCAGCCAUUCGGCGUGCAGGAUGAAGGCCCUCGGGUUGUAAACCGCUGUCGUAGGGGAGGAAAUUGAUCGGGGUUCUCCCCGGUUAUUGACCUAUCCUAGGAGGAAGGACGGGCUAAGUUCGUGCCAGCCGCCGCAGUAA